UACGAAGGGGGCUAGCGUUGCUCGGAAUUACUGGGCGUAAAGGGAGCGUAGGCGGACAGUUUAGUCAGAGGUGAAAGCCCAGGGCUCAACCUUGGAAUUGCCUUUGAUACUGGCUGUCUUGAGUACGGGAGAGGUGUGUGGAACUCCGAGUGUAGAGGUGAAAUUCGUAGAUAUUCGGAAGAACACCAGUGGCGAAGGCGACACACUGGCCCGUUACUGACGCUGAGGAACGAAAGCUAGGGGAGCAAACAGG
rnacentral:rRNA from 1 species